rnacentral:tRNA from 1 species
CUCCUUUCUAAGGAAAUGGAAGCACGUUAGGAAAAGUCUUAUUUAGUUUUGAGAGGUCUUAUUAAAGUAAUGAGAUAGAAACACCACUAAUAAUGUAACAACCAGUUUAUUAGUUGGGGCCUUAGCUCAGCUGGGAGAGCGCCUGCUUUGCACGCAGGAGGUCAGCGGUUCGAUCCCGCUAGGCUCCAUUAUCUAGGAUACAAAGAGAUGUUCGGCUUGCCGAAAUUUCUUAAGAAAUUAAUCUCGUGUUCAACUAGAUAAGUAGGAUAAAAAUCCUAACAUAGUCCAUUGAAAAUUGAAUAUCUAUAUCAAAUUCCACAAUUAAGAAAUUAAUUGUAGAAAACAAGUAACAGAAAUAACCGAAAAAAAAGAUAAACGCGAACAUAUUUAAAAAAAUUUANAAGAAGGUCGAAAGACUGGAAAUAAGGUUNAGUUAAAAAGACUGGAAAUAAGGUUAAGUUAAU